AAAAAAACUCUCAAUUCUGUGGAUUCGAUCUGAGCAGUUCUAUUUCAGGUUCAAGGAAGAAGGAUACUGAACAACCCAUAUGUCUCAAUUCUGGGCUCACUCGGGCUGAUUCUAAAUUUGACAUGAGUUGAUCUUGAUCCGAUUCAUAGUACAAAUUGACGAGACCAAACCCAGGCCAACAGGCGUACGUGCCACGUCUUGGCCUACAAGCUAAAAAG
rnacentral:misc_RNA from 1 species